rnacentral:rRNA from 1 species
CCUACGGGUGGCAGCAGUAGGGAAUCUUCGUCAAUGGGCGCAAGCCUGACCGAGCAAUGCCGCGUGAACGAGGAAGGUCUUCGGAUCGUAAAGUUCUGUUGUUGGGGAAAAAGAGCGGCGAGAGGAACUGAACUUCGCCUGACAUUACCUUUCGAGGAAGUCACGGCUAACUACGUGCCAGCAGCCGCGGUAAUACGUAGGUGGCGAGCGUUAUCCGGAAUGAUUGGGCGUAAAGGGGGCGUAGGCGGUCUUUAAAGUCUGAUGUGAAAGGGACCGGCUCAACCGGGACAGGCAUUGGAAACUGGCGGCCUAGAGUGCAGAAGAGGACGGUGGAACUCCAUGUGUAGCGGUAAAAUGCGUAGAUAUAUGGAAGAACACCAGUGGCGAAGGCGGCCGCCUGGCCUGUAACUGACGCUGAGGCACGAAAGCGUGGGGAGCAAAUAGGAUUAGAUACCCUUGUAGUC